GGUGGGUUUGUAAGUCAGAUGUGAAAGCCUUCUGUUCAACGGGAGAAUUGCAUCUGAAACUACAGACCUUGAGUGUAGGAGGGGAGAAUGGAACUUCUGGUGGAGCGGUGAAAUGCGUAGAUAUCAGAAGGAACGCCGGCGGCGAAAGCGAUUCUCUGGCCUAUUACUGACACUCAGUGUGCGAAAGCUAGGGGAGCAAACGGGAUUAGAUACCCCGGUAGUCCUAGCCGUAAACGAUGGGCACUAAGUAGAGGGGUUU
rnacentral:rRNA from 1 species